rnacentral:lncRNA from 1 species
UCUUCUAUAAACUUACGUGAUCGCCUUGUUCAUCAGGUGAGAGCUCGACUCAAUUUGACAGCUCCAACUUUGGAAUGCAAUCCAAAGAGCCGCACACAUUAGCGAAGGAGGAUCUUUGGUUGUUCUUCUGCAUGAGGAUUCAGGAUGUUGAUUGAUGUAUUGAUUGUAUUGCUGUACUGAAAGGAUACACAGUUAUCUGUUGUGUGGCAAUUCUCUGGGGGGAUAUUGCAGCUUUUUUUGAGUUUGGAAUAAAGUCACCAGCCUGCUUAUAUUCUUUAUGAGCACUCUGUCACCUAAAUUUUCUACUACUUUUUAUGAGCUCAGAAAAUUCAGUUGGUUAGAAUAUGUCAUAAACAAGCAUUAAACAUUAAGCCAGAGGUUAGCUUGCAUGUUACUCUGAACUUGAGCACAUAUGGUCUGCUUAACAUAUGCAUAAACAGAAACUUCAACAGCUCUUACAUCCUGCAUGGAAAGAAAAGAAAGGAAUCCAGAGGUCAGUUUUCAAGUGAUUUUUCUGGUUGGAACAUAUAGCUUUAAGAAAAGCUUUUCAGUUAUUAUUAAUGAUUAACUCGUUUUAUUUUCUUCCAUUACCCAUCAAAGAAAAGGAAUAGACCUUAGUUUGUGUAGCUUUCAAAUUAACUACAAUUAAUAACGGUUCUUUAAUAUGCAGCAUAUAACAAACGCUCGAGUCCAGAACGAGCUCGG